rnacentral:lncRNA from 1 species
UUAUGGAGUGGGCUUUCAUGCAGUUUUAGGUGCUUCUACGUUGAUUCAAAUUCUGGUCUGUAUGAACAAUCCAGUUUUUUACUAUUUUACUUUGCUAGAAUAUCAAAUUUCAGUCUACGUUGUGUUCCUUUUAUUCAUACAGAGAUUCUAUUUCUUUCCAUACGGAAGCUUGCAAGGUUUUGCUUUUGAAUUCUUCCCACCCAAUGUGCUUUCUUCUGCCAUAUCACUAUUUAACAGUAUAAUCUUGUUAAGU